GACGAACGCUGGCGGCGUGCUUAACACAUGCAAGUCGAACGGUAAGGCCCUUGGGGGUACACGAGUGGCGAACGGGUGAGUAACACGUGGGUGAUCUGCCCUGCACUUCGGGAUAAGCCUGGGAAACUGGGUCUAAUACCGGAUAGGACCACUGCCUGCAUGGGUGGUGGUGGAAAGCUUUUGCGGUGUGGGAUGGGCCCGCGGCCUAUCGGCUUGUUGGUGGGGUGAUGGCCUACCAAGGCGACGACGGGUAGCCGGCCUGAGAGGGUGACCGGCCACACUGGGACUGAGAUACGGCCCAGACUCCGACGGGAGGCAGCAGUGGGGAAUAUUGCACAAUGGGCGCAAGCCUGAUGCAGCGACGCCGCGUGAGGGAUGACGGCCUUCGGGUUGUAAACCUCUUUCAGCACCGACGAAGCGCAAGUGACGGUAGGUGCAGAAGAAGGACCGGCCAACUACGUGCCAGCCGCCGCAGUAA
rnacentral:rRNA from 1 species